UUAAAUUAGUAAGGGCGCAUGGCGGAUGCCUUGGCACUAGAAGCUGAAGAAGGACGCGACAAACAGCGAUAUGCUUUGGGGAGCAGUAAGUACGCUUUGAUCCAGAGAUUUCCGAAUGGGGGAACCCAGCAGUAGUAAUUGACUGUUAUCCUGUUGUGAAUACAUAGCAACAGAGAGAGUAACCCGGCGAACUGAAACAUCUUAGUAACCGGAGGAAAAGAAAGAAAAAUCGAUUCCCUGAGUAGUGGCGAGCGAAAGGGGAGUAGCCCAAACCAGCUAGACUGGGGUUGUAGGACCUAGAAUACGGAGUAAAAAAUUCUUAUUAUAGAUGAAAUAUUUGGGAAAGUAUACCAAAGAAGGUGAGAGUCCUGUAAUCGAAAUAAUAAGAACUCCUCUAGGAAUCCUGAGUACGGCGAGGCACGUGGAACCUUGUCGGAAGCAGCGGGGACCAUCCCGCAAGGCUAAAUACUCUCUAGUGACCGAUAGUGAACAAGUACCGUGAGGGAAAGGUGAAAAGAACCCCGGGAGGGGAGUGAAAAAGAACCUGAAACCCUGUGUUUACAAGCAGUGAAAGUGCGAGCAAGGCACGAUCACGUACUUUUUGUAGAACGGACCGGCGAGUUACGUUAUGCAGCAAGGUUAAGAACUGAAGGUUCGGAGCCGAAGCGAAAGCGAGUCUGAAUAGGGCGAUAGUUGCAUGACGUAGACCCGAAACCGGGUGACCUAUCCAUGAGCAGGUUGAAGUGGAGGUAAAGCUCCAUGGAGGACCGAACCAGACGUCUGUUGAAAAAGGCGGGGAUGACUUGUGGAUAGGGGAGAAAUUCCAAUCGAACCCGGAGAUAGCUGGUUCUCCUCGAAAUAGCUUUAGGGCUAGCCUCAUGGAUCAUUGGUGGGGGUAGAGCACUGAAUGUGCGCGGGGGCCACAAAGCCUACCAAACGCUAUCAAACUUCGAAUACCAUACAAUGCAGACCAUGGGAGUCAGUCCGCGAGAGAUAAGUUCCGCGGGCAAAAGGGGAACACCCCAGAUCAACCGCUAAGGUCCCCAAGUUCACGUUAAGUGGAGAAGGAUGUGGAAUUGCACAGACAACCAGGAUGUUGGCUCAGAAGCAGCCACACAUUUAAAGAGUGCGUAAUAGCUCACUGGUCGAGUGAUUGUGCGCCGAAGAUGUCCGGGGCUAAACGUGACACCGAAGCGAUGGGUGCAUCUGAAAGGAUGCGCGGUAGAGGAGCAAUGUGCAGAGGCAGAAGCCGUAUCGAGAGGCACGGUGGACACUGCACAAGAGAGAAUGCCGGUAUGAGUAGCGAGAGGCAUGCGAGAAACAUGCCCGUCGAAAGCCCAAGGUUUCCUGGGGAAGGUUCAUCCGCCCAGGGUAAGUCGGGGCCUAAGCCGAGGACGGAAGUCGUAGGCGAUGGACAGCAGGUGUAGAUUCCUGCACUACCGAUGGAAUGAAGCAGUGACACAGAAGGAUAACUCGAGCAGGGUGAUGGUCAACCCUGUGCAAGCAUCAAGGUUGGGUUGUAGUGAAGUACGCAACCCUAUAAGCUGAGGUGUGAUGCGGACCGAAAUUUCAGUAGGGAAGCGAGUGAGUUCACGCUGGCGAGAAAAGCUGCUAGUACAUCCAAAGGUACCCGUACCGGAAACCGACGCAGGUGGGCGAGGAGAGAAUCCUGAGACGAACGGGAGAACCCUUGUUAAGGAACUCGGCAAAAUGACCCCGUAACUUCGGGAUAAGGGGUGCCUGCGAGAGCAGGCCGCAGAGAAUAGUCACAAGCGACUGUUUAGCAAAAACACAGGUAUCUGCGAAAGCGAGAGCUGACGUAUAGGUGCUGACACCUGCCCGGUGCUGGAAGGUUAAGGGAACAUGUUAGAGCAAUCGAAGCAUCGAACCGAAGCCCCAGUAAACGGCGGCCGUAACUAUAACGGUCCUAAGGUAGCGAAAUUCCUUGUCGGGUAAGUUCCGACCCGCACGAAUGGUGUAACGACUUGUGAGCUGUCUCAACAGGGGGCCCGGUGAAAUUGAAGUAUGGGUGAAGAUGCCCAUUACCCGCGACUGGACGGAAAGACCCCGUAGAGCUUUACUGCAGCCUGAUAUUGAGUUUCGGUAACUGAUGCACAGGAUAGGUGGGAGUCUGAGAGACACGGGUUUCGGCUCGUGUGGAGACGAUGUUGGGAUACCACUCUUCGGUUACUGAAAUUCUAACAUAGCUCUGUGAAACCAGAGGAUGGACAGUGUCAGGUGGACAGUUUGACUGGGGCGGUCGCCUCCGAAAGAGUAACGGAGGCGCCCAAAGGUACCCUCAGAAUGGAUGGAAACCAUUCGAAGAGCGCAAAGGCAGAAGGGUGCCUGACUGCGAGAUUGACAAAUCGAGCAGAGACGAAAGUCGGGCUUAGUGAUCCGGCGGUAUUGAGUGGAAAAGCCGUCGCUUAACGGAUAAAAGCUACCUCGGGGAUAACAGGCUGAUCUCCCCCAAGAGUCCACAUCGACGGGGAGGUUUGGCAC
rnacentral:rRNA from 1 species